ensembl:snRNA U6 U6 spliceosomal RNA
GUGCUUGGUUUGACAGCCCAUAAACUCCAAUUGGAAUGAUAGAGCAAAGAUGGGCAUGGCCCCUGCACAAACAUAGAACACAACUUUGUGCAGUCUUCCGUGUUCUC